UCUCCGUUGGUGAACCAGCGGAGGGAUCAUUACCGAGUUUACAACUCCCAAACCCAAUGUGAACCAUACCAAACUGUUGCCUCGGCGGGGUCACGCCCCGGGUGCGUCGCAGCCCCGGAACCAGGCGCCCGCCAGAGGGACCAACCAAACUCUUUCUGUAGUCCCCUCGCGGACGUUAUUUUUACAGCUCUGAGCAAAAAUUCAAAAUGAAUCAAAACUUUCAACAACGGAUCUCUUGGUUCUG
rnacentral:misc_RNA from 1 species